ACAGGCCCUGUGCUGUGAUGCAGUGGUGCAGGAAGGCAUGUGGCUCCUGCGGUGGCCGCCGCCCCCACUCAGAGGAGCCUGUGGGCCUCCUCGGACUGCCCUGUGAAUCCUCUACCCAGAUGCUACAGACAGGAACGCUUUCCACGUGGGAAACCAUCUGCUCCACCCACCUCAUGCCCUGGAAGAGUCUCAGCCUGGCCUUACACUCCCUGAUUCUCCUGCCGCAGCCUCCUGAGUACUAGAAUUAUAGGUGUACACCAUCACCAGGCCUGGCACUCUUCCCAUUUUUGGAGACUCAUCUUUUCUUUCCCAGUUUAAAAGUCACAUUUUCUUUCUUUUUUUGAAAAUUCAAAGCACUUUAUUAAUGAGAAUGGAAGAGCCAUCAUAGUAAUAAAAGGUUAUCAGCUUGAGCAAAGUCUCUUAUCUCGCAGGGAAGUAAUCCUGGUGUGUGCUGAGUGUAGAAAUCUAAGUGAAACCAUCGGGCAGGUUCAGUCUGAAGACACUGGGACAGCACUGUCUCUUUCCUCACCGAGAAUACGCAAAAUAAAUAGAUUACAUGGUAGCGAUGGUAUUAAUUGGCCCUUGGCUCUUCUCAAGUGUCCAGUGCAUGCUGCAGAGCUCAUCCAGCUCCGGAGUCCUCCCCUCCCUCUCGCCUGACUGGUGUCUAUGACGAGGACUCUCAGCAGCAGUGGUGCACCCCGCUCUGCGUGGCCGGGGCCACGGACAGCUCAGAGACCCCUGCUGCGGCUGGGCAACUGCUCCACACUAGGGUCCAAAGUCUCAAUUUCCUCUCAUGCGCUCCAAGCACAGGGACCCAGGCAUGGGAGGGCACGGAGCAGGGGCAGCUCUGCACCCGGACCGCUCCUCCCUGUCAGAAGCUCAGCUCAGCAUGGGAAGCUGAGCUCUGUUGUGCUGUGGAAUAAAAGACAGCGAUGAAGGAAGAAAGUGCGCGGCCUCAGCGUGGCCCAGCCCUUCAGCACUGGACAGCCCAGCGCUGGCCCAUGGGAUGGAAGGUGCUGUGUGGCCGGGCGGCCCAUGUGGCACAGCCACGCUCCACUUUGUAGUCAGAAGCUUCCUCAGCAUCCACCUCGCCCCCAGAGAUCCCUGACCUUCUGCUGGCCUCAGUUUCCUCACCUGCAAGACACCCUGCCUCUGAGGGAUCUUGUGAGGUUUAAUUAUGCAAUUCACCACAUUUUCAUGGAUGCAGACGCCCAUGAAGCAGGCCUCAUCCAUGAGGCUGGUUUCCCCGGCGCUGACCCUGAGCCUCCGCCCCAGCUGCAGAUGAGCAGUUCAUCCCCUCAGCCUGUAGCGGGGGUGCAGUGAGCAGGAUGGCCUAGCAUAGCAAGUCCCAGAGCAAAACACACACAGAAGUGUGCACAGACGCAUCCGCAUGUGCACACAGAUCCACUCACACACACACGCACAAAGGCACACGAACAUGCCCCUCCAGACCUGCCAGUUCCCUCCGGAGACUGGCUUAUUUAAAGUCUUAUAAGAAGUUUAGGCCUUGAGGGAGAAGCCCGAGAACUGUGCCCUGGGAAGCAGCCGGGGUCCAGGUGCCAUGGACUCUGGGGCCCCGUGUGCCCUGCUCCAGGAUGCUCAGCAGAGCGAGACCCUGACCUCAGGGGCUUUGGACCUCCAGGUCAGAAGUGACACCAUCACUGCCACAGUGGCGCACUGGAGGUGUGGCACAGGCUUGGUGGCCUCAGAGUCCAGGGGCAGCCAUGGGCACUUGGAGCCUGUACCAUGGGUCCCCUCCAGGAGCCCCAGUGCCUGAACCUCCCUGGCAUCACUUUGGUUGCAGAUCUCAGCCCACCCAUGCCAGCGGGGCCCUUGACGCUGACUGGGUCUCCCCUGCUGACCAGGCCCCACCCAGGCUUCACUGCACCCUGGUCCCAGAAGUAAGAAGGAUGGAGUUGCAGCUGGUCCCUCGGGGGAGAUACUGCAGGUCAGAACAGGGAAGCCCAGGCUCCCUGCAGUCCCUGUGCUCUUCUCUACGUGACGAAUUCUCCAGAAACUAAGACCAUACAGAUGACCUGAACCACAAUCUGUACUCCGAGGUUGGCAGGUAUAGCGCUCCUGCUUGGGAUGGUGGGUUGAGGAGGCCACUCUGUGAAGGGAGAGAAGGUGCAAGGCCCUGAGCCCCAGUGCUGAGCUCUGGCCCUGCUGGGGGUGUCCCCCUUUCCCUAACAAGGGGCUCUGUGCCCCACCUCCCUUACCCCAUCUCAGGGUGCGGGGCUCAGGCAGCCCCUCAUGCCGCACACGGCACGUGUAAUUCUGCUCCUCUCCAGAAGGCACCACCACAGCCGCCCACUUCUGGAAGGUUCCAUUCCCAUUAGGCCUGGUCUCCACCAGCUCCAUCUCCUGGGUCAGCUCCUGCCCAUCCCACUGCCAGGUCAGGGAGAUGUCCUUAGGGUAGAAGCCCAGGGCCCAGCACCGCAGGGUGGCCUGUUCCUUGGAGACGGGGUGGCGGGUCACAUAAACGUGGGGCUGCUCUGCAGUGGACACAGAAAAGGCCUCCAUGAGGGACUUGCCGAGAAGCACAGGCACCAGUGACUGAGAUGCUCUAACCCUCAUGCUUCAGCAGUGCGCUGGGGCAGGCAGGGUGUCAGCUAGGCAGGAGUGGGGAGCCUAGGAUCAGGGUAGGCAGGGAGCUCAGCCCCAGCAGCCAGAGCAGGGGUCGCUUCGAGCCUUGCCUCCCUCUCCUCCAGCCUGGGGCCACUGUUUGUAGACAGACGUUGACUGCAUUCACGGCUGUGUCCAGGGGGAGAGGGGCAGAAGUGUGCACCCCCGGCUGAAGGACACGCCAGCACUCUCCUGAGAGCUCUGCCACAGGGAGGAGAAGGCAGCACCCCAGACUCAACAGGACAGACCCCCCAGAUCUGAGUCUCCUGCAGUGGGCACGCUGUGUGCAGCACAAGGACCCUGUCACCCACACCAGAGUCUGCGCUCACUGCUUUGUGGCCCAGGGGGGCCCUGCUGGGGACUUGGGGCAGCAGAGCAGUGGCCAGGAGAGGUCAUUUACCACGGCGGGCCAGGUCCUCUUUUCCUUGGUCCAGGUAUCUGCGUAGCCACAGGAUGCAUUCCUUCUGCAAGUAUUCCUUGUCUUUUUCUAUUCUGUUCCUGUCCUCCUCCCACUUCCGCUUGGUUUUCAGGGCAAUGAAGGAGGCCGCUACGUAUUGCAGAGCGUCCAGGUCCAAGGUCAGGUAGUCACUGCCAUCAUAGCCGUACUGCCAGUGCCCGCUGGACUGGCCGUCUUCCUGCAGCUCGCAGCCAUAGGUGAACUGGAGGGUGUGGGGGCCUGUCCACCCCGGACACGGUCAGGGAGGCAGGGACCCGUUGGGCCAAGGUGGCCCUGCCUGCCUUCCCGACCCACCCGCUCAAGGCCCCGCAUUGCCUACAGCAUGCUCACGCCCUAGACGACCUAGCUUGCUUCCUGCUUCUGGUCUGUUUUGGUUUCGGCCAGCUGGGAAGUGGCCGAGGCUGGAUUCCAGGGCCUAGACUGCGGUGUCCUACACCCUGAGUCCGCAGGACAGGUCGCUCACCCUCCACAGCUCUGUGUACACAGAAGGGCCAGGGCCUGACCCCACACGAGAAUCUCGGGGCCAACAAUCACAGAUGCUAAGAGCCAGGACCACAGUCGCCAACCACAGUGCCAACCGAAGAGGAUACGCUGUGGUCAGCGGGUUUCUUUCCUUCCUAGAGAGCCCCAUCCUAGCUCCAGCCUGGGCUGCAAGCUUCUCUGUUGAAUUUCAAAAUCAAACAUAAAUAACUGAGUUUGGCAAGCUUGGGUUCACCAUGUGCCCUGGCAUCUAGGCCCAUGGGUCCCCGGUGCUGUGGCCACGCUGACCCUUGUCCCCAGUGACUGUCCCACCCCUUCCACACUGUGGAAAGCCAUGGUCCUCUUUAGCCUGCAUUUCACAGCUUGCUGGUUGAAGGCCUCAGUGGGCUGGUUCCCAUUGCGACAGGAGAAUGACUAAGCCACAGGUUGUUUCUUCCCUUCCUCCACCCAACUCCAGCCUCCAGCCGCACCCCAGCCUCCAGCUGCCCCCACAUCAUCCCUAUCCCUCAGGUUCCCCCCACAGCCCGUCUGACAGCUCAGUCUCUCACCCUGGUCCUGAGCAGAUGAGCCAUUCUCUGGCCGCCCUCAGAACGCCUGCAGAGCCAGGGAGCUGUCCCCAGUGUGUAGGCACUGCCCCUUCUCACUGAGAGCUUUAAGGACGGACCCUUUGGCCACAGUAUUCUAGUUUCCUGCGUGCAGCAACAGUGGAUACAGCCAGGGCUCGACCUGUGACCCAGUGAACAUGGGGCAUGGCGAGAUCCAGGCCCCAGGCCUGAUUCCUGUGAGCAGCUGGGGCACAUUCCUCCCCAGGGACAGCUGCUCAGAGCACCCCGUGGACCUCCCGUCUCUGGGCUCUCCUGCCUGUCAGGUGCGUACCUGCAGGCUUUUGUGGGUGCUCUGUGUUGAUGGUGCUGUUGUAGUAAUUCUGCACAUUCCUCAGACUUAUCUGGAAAAUUUUCAUUCUAUUGGUGAAGAUCUCGGUCUCAUCAUCAAAGUAGGCCUGCUGUUCCUUCAGCCAGGGCACGCAGGGUUCUGCCUGCAUCAGCUUGCUGUUGUAGCGGAUGAAGGGCCGGCCAUCCAGGAAGCCAGAGGCAGAAAAUCUGGGCACUCCAGGGCCUGCCUCAGAGACCGCCGAGUAUUUAUACUGCAGAGAGUGGGACCCUGCAACACAGCCAGGGACUUGCAGUCAGCUGCAGGCUGCAGCGUUUAUCAGGAGGACCCAGAACCUGAGUGUGCGAGUUGUGCGUAUUACAGAUGAGGCAGGCACAUUGCACCCAUCAGACCUUGGGUGUGAGUAAGCCACUCACAUGUGUGAAUUCAAACCCAUGAAGUAUGCAUAGAGGGAAUUCAGAGAAUUGACCAGGAAAUAGUAGUGCCAGGCCUUGGUGUGAAGUUUCUAGAAAGUUCUCAAGCAAGGCUUGGGAAUAGAGGGAACUGGAGAUCUGGAAAUAGCCUCAGGACCUGGUUGAGGUGACGUCCCCCUGGGAUGGGCUCCAGAAGAGGCCCUUGCAGGGCUGUGCUCACUGCCCUGGCACAGUUUUCUUCCUCUGCUGACCCUGCCGUGUACGCGUUUGCAUGUACUGCACACCGUUAUGGGGACCUGGUUACUGAGUGACAGAAGGACAGAGCUUGAGCUGCCUGAAUGAGCCAGGCACUGCACAUGGAUGCUGGACAUAAGUGACAGCCGCACACAGCCAGUUACCAUGCUCCCUGACUAAAUACCCGGGCGGAUUGCACUGUGGAGAGCGGAAACCAGCAAGAGGCUGAAGAGAAGCUGUCUGUCUGUCUCUCUGUCGCUGGUCCCAGGUGACUGUCCUCUUAGCGGGGUGUGAAAUGCAUACCCCACCUGAUUACCAGCCUUAUUGCUAGGAUGGCACAGAAAGCCGUUCUGUUUCCAGAAAGUGACAUGUGGAGCUUCCACCGGCCUCUGCUUUAGCUUUCUUUUUCAUUUAACUCAUUUAUGACUCCGUGAGGUGGACCCUCCCAUUGCAGGGACACAGGGCUGAGCUGCAGGGCCUUCAUGGAAGCCUCCCUGUGACAAAAGGUGAGCUUCUAAGACUAACCUGUGAGCAGUGGCAAGGAGUCCCCGCCCACAAGGUCACUGCACUCCCAACCAAGCCCGCCCAGUGCCCCCUGGUCCUGGCCAUGCCUAACCAGGCCUCCCAGGGCCACAGCUGCUGCACGAGCCCUGGGAUUGCAGGCUGGGAGUUUCCUGCGGUUUGCACAGGGAGAGAGAAGCAUGAGACUUCCCCGGUGGGGCGGCCAUGCCUGGGUGGUGAGCUCUGGGCACGUGGAGCCACUUUCUGCCACGCCCACCCUCGAAGCCAGCGCUCUAAACCCAGGUGGUCCAUGGCGUCCAGUGAAGAUAAUCCUGCGAGGGCAAGGAGCGUGCGCUUCUCAUGAGAACCGUUUCUGAAAGGAUCUGACUUUCUUUCCCAUCUUUCUUGUUGGAGCUGCUGAAGCUGAGUACACAUGCAGAGCUGUGGUGUGAGCAUAGCUGAACUGAGAAUGAGAUCUCUUUGUUGGGCCACACGGAGGCACUGGAGAGCACUGAGGCAGGCGAGGCUGAAGCAAACAGCGAGAACGCGCACUCGCCUCCCAGUUUAGGACUCAACUCUAAGCGCAGAGUCCCCCAGCAAGCUCAGGAA